UCAUUCUAGAUACACUUUCCAGUACAUCUACUAUGUUACGACUUAUCUUACCUUAAUAAUAAGAGCGACGGGCGAUGUGUACAUAUUUUAGAGCUAAAAUCAAAUUAUUAAUCUUUAUAAUUUUACAACCAAAUCCACCUUCAAAAAUUUUUUCAUAAUUUUAUCCGUUUAAAUAAAUUUAUUGUAACCCAUUAUUACUUAAAUAUAAGCUACACCUUGAUCUGAUAUAAAUUUUAAUAAAAAUUAUUGAAUAUUAUUAUUCUUAUAAAAUAUUCUGAUAACGACGGUAUAUAAACUGAUUACAAAUUUAAGUAAGGUCCAACGUGGAUUAUCGAUUACAAAACAGGUUCCUCUGGAUAGACUAAAAUACCGCCAAAUUUUUUAAGUUUCAAGAACAUAAC
rnacentral:rRNA from 1 species